CAAGUGCACUUGAACGCAGCCUUCUUAUCGUAUCAUUUUUCAUUCGUAAUUGUUUUUAAUUCCUCAUCAAUCCGCAGUGCGUCGCGAGUAUGGCCACAUGAUUGGCAGCACUGACAGACGCCUUGUAGUUUUGUUUGGCAAGUGCAUCGUUCGAAAGAAUAAGCAUCAGAGACGCCAAAUAACGGGAUUACUUGUGAGUUAAUUAAUUCUUUACGCGUGUCACGAGGUUACAUAUCGAUAGAGUGAACUCUGGAACAAGAUAUCAUUUCGUCGGUGAUUACAAGAGUGCGGGAGUGCCGUCUAAAGUAGUGCGAUAUACGGGCGAUCAAUUAGCGAGAUAUGGAUUCGCCUUCGAUUUUAAUUCCUCGCUAAUCCGCAGUGCGUCGCGAGCGUGAUUAAGCGUUAUCGAGGAAUCGAGGGCCGAAUUAAUGGACGAUGCGCGAUGGAUCGUCUUUGUAAGUGUCGCGAUUGUUCGGAUAAUUUAAUUACCGGGAGUGCCGUAUCGAGUGACGCGAGUGCGAAGUGGUCAACGAUGUGAUAAUCAGUGACUAAAGUGACCUGAAGAAAAUCAGCGCAGCGAUGCAUCCACGGGAUGGCAGCCACGAGAAGCAACGGCGGGACGACAAGCGAUGGUGGACCUUCGAUCCAGGAUUCUCCGGUGCAUCUUCGUUCUUUUUGAUGGUCAUCCGAGGCGAGCCAUGCACGGAGUACGGGUGUCCAGGACGACCGCAGUACGAGCCCUUCGUCCCUGCGCCUCCAGGACACACCCCCAGCUGCGCGCCACCGGGGCAGACCUUCUGCGAAAAUCUGGACCAUUAUCCUCGACAACUCAUCAAAUUUCUCGCCGACAAAUGCAGCUUUGAUUUUAGCACUGCGUUGCGAGACGAAUCUCGCGACGAUUUCAAUUUUUACAGUUCCCCUCCGAAUUAUAGUCAAGGCUAUGACUAUCCACGACAGGAUGAUGUAUAUCGAUUAUACACGCAGUUAACAGAACAGCCGACUUCGAUGUACGAUCUUCCGUCUAAUAAUAGCCGUCACAAUGGUUAUAAAUAUUCUGUACCGCCGCAACCGCAAAGAAAUCCUUUUCUUCCGGGAGUAGCUCUGAAGUAUCAUCAAAAUAACCCACGACAAAUCGAUUAUAAUUAUCCGCAAGAAUCCUUGUUCAGACAGAAUCAAUCAUGGUUAGCGAACAGAUAUUCACGAAGUGAUAAAAUAGCACCGCGAACUUAUAACGUGAAUCCUUUAUUGGAAUAUGCGAAACUUAAGGACGAUCGUGUUAAGAGACAGUCGAAUCCGGAUGUCAUCGCUCUAUGCCCUACACAAGCGCAAUAUAUCGCUCCCAAGGCUGCUCUAAAUAAUCAAGGCAACUGGAUGUAUGUUGUUAAUCUUCCAGGGCAGAACAAAUAUACGCAGUUGGUCAAAAGCGAAAGAUGCUUGAAUAACGAAUGUAACGGUAUAUGUUCGAUUCCGGAAGGAUAUAGAAGCAAUUGUCAACAACAAUUUGUGCAAAAGAGACUAAUUGCACUCGAAGGAAGCGGUAAUCGACUUUACACCGACGUGUUCUGGUUUCCACACGGCUGCUCGUGCCAGAUUAUACCAAAUUAUUGAAUAUACAACAACAAACUGUCACAUUUAAUGAAUAGGAAUUAUUUUCAAGGAGUGCGCUUCGCAUCAGCGUUUAAGGUAGGUACCGAUAAUGUAGCGUUCUAGGAACGAUGAUGCGUACUCGAACAAGACUUGAUUCAAUGCACAUUACCAGUGGUGUUAAAGUAGAGAUAGAUAAGCAUUGUCAACAUAUUUACUUAUUGCAGUAAUAAUUAUAAUAUAGAGCAAAUUGCGCAGGCAAUGUGAAUUUAUCCAUAAAAAUAUUAAUUUUUUAACACUGAAUGAUUGUUAGCUAAAAAUAGAUAAAUUCUUCUUUUCCAAAAUGAAAAAUGUCAUUAUUAUUCCAUCAUAUGAUAUUUCA
rnacentral:misc_RNA from 1 species